rnacentral:rRNA from 1 species
GGGCCCGCACAAGCGGUGGAGCAUGUGGUUUAAUUCGAUGAUACGCGAGGAACCUUACCAGGGCUUAAAUGCAGUCUGACAGGAGUGGAAACACUCUCUUCUUCGGACAGAUUGCAAGGUGCUGCAUGGUUGUCGUCAGCUCGUGCCGUGAGUGUCAGGUUAAGUCCUAUAACGAGCGCAACCCCUUUCGUUAGUUGCCAGCGAGUCAUGUCGGGAACUCUAGCGAGACUGCCGGUGCAAAACCGUGAGGAAGGUGGGGAUGACGUCAAAUCAUCACGGCCCUUACGUCCUGGGGCCACACACGUGCUACAAUGGUAGGGACAGAGGGCAGCUACCCCCGCGAGGGGAUGC